AGUGAACGCUGGCGGUAGGCCUAACACAUGCAAGUCGAACGGCAGCACAGGAGAGCUUGCUCUCUGGGUGGCGAGUGGCGGACGGGUGAGGAAUACAUCGGAAUCUACUUUUUCGUGAGGGAUAACGUAGGGAAACUUACGCUAAUACCGCAUACGACCUCCGGGUGAAAGCAGGGGGCCUUCGGGCUUUGCGCGAUUGAAUGAGCCGGUGUCGGAUUAGCUAGUUGGCGGGGUAAAGGCCCACCAAGGCGACGAUCCGUAGCUGGUCUGAGAGGAUGAUCAGCCACACUGGAACUGAGACACGGUCCAGACUCCUACGGGAGGCAGCAGUGGGGAAUAUUGGGCAAUGGGCGCAAGCCUGAUCCAGCCAUACCGCGUGGGUGAAGAAGGCCUUCGGGUUGUAAAGCCCUUUUGUUGGGAAAGAAAUCCAGCUGGCUAAUACCCGGUUGGGAUGACGGUACCCAAAGAAUAAGCACCGGCUAACUUCGUGCCAGCCGCCGCAGUAA
rnacentral:rRNA from 1 species